rnacentral:tRNA from 1 species
UCUCUGGUGGUCCAGUGGUUAGGGCUCUGCACUUUUGCUGCAGGAAGCACAGGUUUGAUACCUGGUCAAGAA